GACUCUCGGCAAUGGAUAUCUCGGCUCUUGCAUCGAUGAAGAACGUAGCGAAAUGCGAUACUUGGUGUGAAUUGCAGAAUCCCGUGAACCAUCGAGUCUUUGAACGCAAGUUGCGCCCGAAGCCAUUAGGCCGAGGGCAUGCCUGCCUGGGUGUCACAC
rnacentral:rRNA from 1 species